rnacentral:rRNA from 1 species
GAUGAACGCUAGCUACAGGCUUAACACAUGCAAGUCGAGGGGAAACGAUAUUGGAAGCUUGCUUCCGAUAGGCGUCGACCGGCGCACGGGUGAGUAACGCGUAUCCAACCUGCCCAUCACUUGGGGAUAACCUUGCGAAAGUAAGACUAAUACCCAAUGACGUCUCUAGAAGACAUCUGAAAGGGAUUAAAGAUUUAUCGGUGAUGGAUGGGGAUGCGUCUGAUUAGCUUGUUGGCGGGGUAACGGCCCACCAAGGCGACGACCAGUAGGGGUUCUGGGAGGAAGGUCCCCCACAUUGGAACUGAGACACGGUCCAAACGCCUACGGGAGGCAGCAGUGAGGAAUAUUGGUCAAUGGACGAGAGUCUGAACCAGCCAAGUAGCGUGCAGGAUGACGGCCCGAUGGGUUGUAAACUGCUUUUAUAAGGGAAUAAAGUGAGAGUAGUGACUCUUUUUGCAUGUACCUUAUGAAUAAGGACCGGCUAAUUCCGUGCCAGCCGCCGCGGUAA